GAACUGAACCAGAGUCAGCUUGCUCCAGUGUGCAUAUGGCAUGAGCAAAGAGAGCGGGAUGAAUGGACAGUCCCAGCAGCCCAUGGACAGUCUCAAUAACAACAAAAAACUGGAUAUCUUUGUGGUCCCUGAAUGAUCCCAGGAGGCUGAACCUAUAAAGACGUCUGGUCCCUGACCCCUUCUGCCUCCAGGUGCCCAGAACAGCCUAUCGUGGGCCUUCACCCUUGGCAGGUGGAUGCCGUUGUCUCAGCUAAGGUUGAGAACUACCAACCUGGGUAAUUUGAGCAAAAUAUUGAGGACCAAAUAAAUAUGGCUGGGAGAAAUCUCAUCUUCAUCCAUCUCCUUUAUUCCAAAAAUAAAUUUUGAGAAGCUUCCAAAAUCAUAUGUAAUAUGGUAAGAUGUUUGAACUUUUAUGGGAUCUGGGAGGGGGAAACCUUGGAAAGAGGGGAGGGCUCUCAGAGAGGGUAAACUUUGAACUGAGGAUUGCAGGAUAAGGAACAUUCCCUCUGACCUGAGUGAGAAUGGAGGAAAUAGCAUUCCUGGCAGAGGGAAAAGCCAGGCAAAGCCCUCAGGGCAGGAAUGAGAAGUGGAGGACUUCUCUGAGAAUGAGCUUCAUAUGGCCUGGGACAGUGGGUCCUGGAGAGUCAGGAG
rnacentral:lncRNA from 10 species